rnacentral:rRNA from 1 species
GAUGAACGCUAGCGGCAGGCCUAACACAUGCAAGUCGAGGGGUAGAAGGAGCUUGCUCCUUUGAGACCGGCGCACGGGUGCGUAACGCGUAUGCAAUCUACCUUGUACAGGGGAAUAGCCCAGAGAAAUUUGGAUUAAUGCCCCAUAGUAUAUAACCUUCGCAUGUUGGUUAUAUUAAAGUUCCAACGGUACAAGAUGAGCAUGCGUCCCAUUAGUUAGUUGGUAAGGUAACGGCUUACCAAGACGAUGAUGGGUAGGGGUCCUGAGAGGGAGAUCCCCCACACUGGUACUGAGACACGGACCAGACUCCUACGGGAGGCAGCAGUGAGGAAUAUUGGUCAAUGGUCGCAAGACUGAACCAGCCAUGCCGCGUGCAGGAAGACGGUCCUAUGGAUUGUAAACUGCUUUUAUACAGGAAGAAACCCUCCCACGUGUGGGAGCUUGACGGUACUGUAGGAAUAAGGAUCGACUAACUCCGUG